UACGAAGGGGGCUAGCGUUGCUCGGAAUUACUGGGCGUAAAGGGCGCGUAGGCGGACAGUUUAGUCAGAGGUGAAAGCCCGGGGCUCAACUCCGGAAUUGCCUUUAAGACUGCAUCGCUAGAAUUGUGGAGAGGUAAGUGGAAUUCCGAGUGUAGAGGUGAAAUUCGUAGAUAUUCGGAAGAACACCAGUGGCGAAGGCGACUUACUGGACACAUAUUGACGCUGAGGAGCGAAAGCGUGGGGAGCGAACAGG
rnacentral:rRNA from 1 species